UCGAGAAUCUUCCGCAAUGGACGCAAGUCUGACGGAGCGACGCCGCGUGCGGGAUGAAGGCCUUCGGGUUGUAAACCGCUGUCAGAGAGGCGGAAAUGCUAUGGGGUUCUCUCCAUAGUUUGACCUAAUCUCAGAGGAAGUCCGGGCUAAGUUCGUGCCAGCAGCCGCGGUAACACGAACCGGACGAACGUUAUUCGGAAUCACUGGGCUUAAAGAGUGCGUAGGCGGCUUGGCAAGUUGGGUGUGAAAUCCCUCGGCUCAACCGAGGAAUUGCGCUCAAAACUGCCAGGCUUGAGGGAGACAGAGGUGAGCGGAACUGAUGGUGGAGCGGUGAAAUGCGUUGAUAUCAUCAGGAACACCGGUGGCGAAGGCGGCUCACUGGGUCUCUUCUGACGCUGAGGCACGAAAGCUAGGGGAGCGAACGGGAUUAGAUACCCCCGUAGUCC
rnacentral:rRNA from 1 species